rnacentral:rRNA from 1 species
UACGAAGGGGGCUAGCGUUGUUCGGAUUUACUGGGCGUAAAGCGCACGUAGGCGGACCGUUAAGUGAGGGGUGAAAUCCCAGGGCUCAACCCUGGAACUGCCUUUCAUACUGGCGAUCUCGAGUCCGGAAGAGGUGAGUGGAACUCCUAGUGUAGAGGUGGAAUUCGUAGAUAUUAGGAAGAACACCAGUGGCGAAGGCGGCUCACUGGUCCGGUACUGACGCUGAGGUGCGAAAGCGUGGGGAGCAAACAGG